rnacentral:rRNA from 1 species
AUUGAACGCUGGCGGCAGGCUUAACACAUGCAAGUCGAACGAGUGGCGGACGGGUGAGUAAUGCCUGGGAAACUACCUGAUGGAGGGGGAUAACUACUGGAAACGGUAGCUAAUACCGCAUACCAUAGGAUGAGCCCAGAUGGGAUUAGUUAGGUGGUGGGGUAACGGCUCACAAAGCCGACGAUCCCUAGCUGGUCGGAGAGGAUGACCAGCAACACUGUAACUGAGCCACGGUCCAGACUCCUACGGGAGGCAGCAGGGGGGAAGAUUGCGCAAGGGGGGCAAUCCUGACGCAGCCAUGCCGCGUGAAUGAAGAAGGCCUUCGGGUGGUAAAGUACUUUCAGCGGGGAGGCGUUACCUGCAGAAGAAGCACCGGCUAACUCCGUGCCAGCCGCCGCGGUAAUUC